rnacentral:rRNA from 1 species
GGAUUGAACGCUGGCGGCAGGCCUAACACAUGCAAGUCGAGCGGUAGAGAGGUGCUUGCACCUCUUGAGAGCGGCGGACGGGUGAGUAAUGCCUAGGAAUCUGCCUAGUGGUGGGGGAUAACGUUCGGAAACGGACGCUAAUACCGCAUACGUCCUACGGGAGAAAGCGGGGGACCUUCGGGCCUCGCGCCAUUAGAUGAGCCUAGGUCGGAUUAGCUAGUUGGUGAGGUAAUGGCUCACCAAGGCGACGAUCCGUAACUGGUCUGAGAGGAUGAUCAGUCACACUGGAACUGAGACACGGUCCAGACUCCUACGGGAGCAGCAGUGGGGAAUAUUGGACAAUGGGCGAAAGCCUGAUCCAGCCAUGCCGCGU